rnacentral:rRNA from 1 species
GGGUGAGUAACGCGUGAGAAUCUACCAAAAGGACUGGGACAACCACUGGAAACGGUGGCUAAUACCGGAUGAGCCGCAACGUAAAAAGGGAAACCUGCCUUUUGAAGAGCUCGCGUCUGAUUAGCUAGUUGGUAGGGUAAAAGCCUACCAAGGCAUCGAUCAGUAGCUGGUCUGAGAGGAUGACCAGCCACACUGGGACUGAGACACGGCCCAGACUCCUACGGGAGGCAGCAGUGGGGAAUUUUCCGCAAUGGGCGAAAGCCUGACGGAGCAAGACCGCGUGAGGGAAGAAGGCUUUUGGGUCGUAAACCUCUUUUAUCAGGGAAGAAAAAAAUGACGGUACCUGAAGAAUCAGCCUCGGCUAACUCCGUGCCAGCAGCCGCGGUAAUACGGAGGAGGCAAGCGUUAUCCGGAAUUAUUGGGCGUAAAGCGUCCGCAGGUGGCUUAUCAAGUCUGCUGUCAAAGAGUGGGGCUUAACCCCAUUAAGGCAGUGGAAACUGAGAAGCUAGAGUGCCGUAGGGGUAGAGGGAAUUCCCGGUGUAGCGGUGAAAUGCGUAGAGAUCGGGAAGAACAUCGGUGGCGAAAGCGCUCUACUGGACGGCAACUGACACUCAGGGACGAAAGCUAGGGGAGCGAAUGGGAUUAGAUACCCCAGUAGUCCUAGC